GGCCGGGUCAUGUGACACGGCCUCUCCGGAGGACGGGGAUGGCGUCAGCAGCUCGGCGCGCGCAACCAACAGCUACACAGCCUCUACUGAGAGUACCUGUAACCUGAUCCCUCAGUGAGCUGAUAAGAUGUCACCUCUGUUUCCCUUGAGACAGAAAUUGCCAUGUGAAGAAUCGGUGAAGUGGAAUUUAGUAAACAUCGCAAAACAAGCCGUGUCGCAGUUUCAUGACAUGUAAACAAGGAUUCAUGCUGAUGUGGAGUUCGCCAAUUUACGGUUCCCUAUAGGAGUUUUUUUUUAUUUUACUUAAGUUUAUAUUUUCUACAUGUUAUUAAAAAGCACGUUGCUUGUAGUUUUCACUGUAAUUACACAUUACUUUUGUAACCCUUUUUAUGGUGUGCAUCGAGCAAUCAGCAUUAACAGAACAGCUUGGUUCAUUGAGUCUGUUCUCUAUAAGUGAUAUUCGGCUCCUGAAGUGAGCAGAUGUGAAUGAGAAAUCUCAGAGAGAUGCACACAAAAACAGAGUUUAGCCAUAUUACAACUAAAUGACAUCUGGGAAGACGUGAACAGUGGCCUUAGUCUACGAAUCUGGUUAAAGCUCUAUGUUUUGAGAAUGCUGAAUGCUACUAAGCACUGCAUUAAUGGCUAUAGUGGAAAUAAAUGGACCAUGUUAAGGCAUCAUUCCCAAAAGAGGUCAACCCUGAAAAUGACAAACAACUUGCCAAUGUUUCAUGGGAAUUCAAUUUCAGUGAAUGACAACAGGACUUUAAUUACUGCCCAUUAGUUUCCUAUUUGUUCUGCAAUACUUUGUAGCACAGAUCAAUCAAUCACAUAGUAUCAGGCUUCAUUCCUGUCCUCUACACACAUCAAGCAGAGAGAUAGGUCU